UGUGAAUCCAUUCGCAUCUGUACAUGAAUUACAUGCCGUACACAUUUGCUACCUGUAGUCACGGGUCAUAUUUUACAUGAGUUUAUAUAUUAAGAAAUCGCAUGAAGAUUACCUUGUUUAAACAUUCAUGAAGUACAACAUCCCCCAAGAGAACUGAAGACAGAAAUUCCGUUUCGUCCCUCCCGAGAGCUUCACUCACCUUCCUCUUGGUGCAUCUCAGCUCUGCAUCCACCACCCCCUGCUGCAAAAUGUUCAGGCUUAUCUGCUCUGAGGGUAUGAUGAUUAUUUUUAGUGGGAGAAGCUUAGAGGAAAUGCAGAUUUGGAAGUAACGCGUGAACCAUUUGGCAAGGUCGAGCCCUGUCUGUCAGCUACGAAUCUUGCCCCUUCCUGACUACUCUCACUGGCUCCCCUUGCAGAGAAGCCUCAACACCUAACAUGUUGUAUGUUCCAAACUUGGCUGAGAGCUCCCCCCACCCCCACCCCCUGCCAAAUCCAAAUAUUCUCAUUUAUAUAUAUAUAUUUUUCUCCCAGAUUGCACUGACGCAGAGAUAAUCAGUCACACUAGAUUGUCUGGGCUGUGAGAGCUGUGACAGGCCCCAUCAGGAAAGGUUGCUUAAUCCCAAUUUAAGUUAGGAUCCACGCUACUGGCUGCAGCCCUCCUUACUGCACUAGAGUGCAGGAUGCGGUAUGUGACUUCAGCCCUGACUGUGCCCCACUCCUAGCUGUACCCCGAAAUUGGUCACAGUCAAGAGCAUGGCACUCCUGGCACAGCUGGUGGGCUCACCUCUUACCGGUGGGCUCACCUCUUACUGAUGCAGCCAAGGAGAAGCGUGGGGAGCCCACUGCAGGGACGGGAGGUGAGAGGGGGUAAAUGUUGUGCUGGGGAAGAGGUCGGAUGCUUCAAGGGGAGAAUGUUCCCUUGCUGGAUGAGAUCCCAAAAAACCGGCUAGAAUGGCAGAAGGGGAAGAGGGAAAACUCACUCCUCAGAUAGACUCAGAUACAGGCCAAGUCCAAAAGACUUAGAGAGUUAAUUGGAAAACAAUUAUACUUAUCUGCUUCCUGCCAAUCUGUAUCCACAGACAGAGCAGAAGUAAUUAUAGAUACCGUGGAUACACUGUGGUGUUAAAUGUUUCAAAUUAUACUGCUUAACAACGCUUCCUUGAUAGGGCCCUCAGCGUGGGGGAGCGGAGAGCUGCUUUGAGUCAGCAGAUAACUCCACGGGGGCAUGGUGAUGCUAUCUGCAGAAGUUUCUCACAUUGGGUCAUGUUUUUCCCCCAAGAAAACUUGCUGCAGCCAAGAAAAGGAAAAAAAAAAAAAAAGAAUUGAUACUAAUUUGGUUUCUGUUGUGUAUUUAGCCUGUCAUUCAUAUAGCUGUCUUAGCGGAGGGAGCCGACAUGUCUUUUAUAGCUUUUGGCUCCUCGCUCCUCGGAGGAGCCAAAAGCAGGGUCAGCACUGUGGAUUAGAAUCAAUUCAGUGGGGGGAAAAUAAACCUUCGGAGUGUAUCUUGCCUUCCCUGAGCACGUCGCAGGCAUUAGCAGUAAUGGGAGCUCUGUCUGUGCAUGGAGAGAAAGCAUCUAGCUCAGGCUCCCACCAUUCUCGCCCCCCUGCUGUGCAGUCCCCUGACCUUCACAGUGGGGAGGGGGAAUGAUUCUGGAUUCAUCUCUAACUUUAUACUGCUAUGCACAGGAAAA
ensembl:lncRNA